UACGAGUGCUUCAAGCGUUAUCCGGAAUCAUUGGGCGUAAAGGGUGUGUAGGCGGCGAUGUUAGUCUCGCGUUAAAUUCUCCGGCUCAACCGGGGAGCUGCGUGGGAAACGGCAUUGCUUGAGGAUGGAAGGGGUCUGCGGAACUCAUGGUGUAGCGGUGAAAUGCGUUGAUAUCAUGGGGAACACCGAAAGCGAAGGCAGCAGACUGGUCCACUCCUGACGCUGAAACACGAAAGCGUGGGUCGCGAAUGGG
rnacentral:rRNA from 1 species